GGCUCUUAGGCUUAUUUGUAGAGCCUCUGCCUUGAAAGCAGAAGGUCCCAAGUUCAAUCCCUGGCAUCUCCA